rnacentral:lncRNA from 1 species
GUAGCUUGGUAUCCUGAAUUUUAUCUGGAAACCCUUUGUCUUCACAGCAACUUUAGAUUUGAUAAGAAUCAAUAAUCCUUGUGAUUUAUGGGCCUUCCACUUUCCCUAAGAGAGCACUGGAGGAUUACGUGAAGAAAAAUGCCUUCCACCUCUAGACACCUCGGAGCUUCUACCUAGAAGAAAUCUCUCAUCACAGGCCUCACAGCAAGCACAUCAGGCACUCCCAGAGAAAGCACAGCCUGAUGCACUCACUGGGAACUUUGUGAGUCUGGAGUCUCCAUCACCAAUUCCCUGCAGUGUUCCUCCUGGGACUACUAUGAUGCUUCAACCUGCACCUGUUUGGAGUUCAUUGGGGUCUGGAGUCUGUCUUCUGUUUAGCUGCAGUUGUUUGGAUAAUACCCUCUUCAGAACAACAGCGAAGCAGAGCUACUUUUGUAAGAGUGGAUGGUAGAAGAGUCCUCACUCAAACAUUUGGG